UGUGUCUCCGGCCCAGGGUGUGGACACUGCACUGUCUCUACUCCAUCGCACUGUGGCUACUGUAUGUAAACCACGGCUCCUCCUUGUGUGUACUCAUACACACAAGGAAUCUUCCAUUUUUUUUCCUUUUUUCAUACAAAGAUGCCAACAAGGGCCCUAGUCAAACAAGGAAGGCUCCAGCUUGAACUGCGGCUGUCUAGGCGAGCGUGUCUAGUCUACAUAGCUGGCUGCCUUGCUCGCCGCUGGGUCGGGGUCAUGCUCCCCAAGUCAAACCUGCGGUCGAGGAAGGUAAACACAAAAAAGUCCACCUCGGUUGGUAUGUCCGAGUGCUGUGCCUGUCCACAGUCUGACAAGCGUGUGUCAUGAGCACUAUUGUGUUGGAGACAGCUCUUGCCUUGACCACACUUGUGUCAACGUGAAUACAUCUCUACCACCCCACCCCCACCUCCUCCACCCUCAUUCUAGGUUCUUCCAUACGGCGUAAAGGGUGGGAGGAAGAGAUGUCUUUCAGCCGGGCAGGUGCUGUCUAAAGAAGAGAACUCAUAAAUUCAUUCUUUGACUUUGACUCUUUCAAACCAAGUCCUUGUAUUCACAAGGCUCCAAUGUUGGUGCCAGGGUGUAAGACAUGGAUCUGCUGCCUUACUCUCGCUGUUCUGGUAGUGUCUGUACGUCAUACGGAUGGAUCGGCCGGCCCAUCCGGGCCGAACGUGUUAGAAAUUGAAAUGGCCCCCCCUACCUCUAGUAAUGCCUGGAGUAUGGGACGGUCAGCAGUCAACCAUUCCGCCUUCUAACGCUUUGAAUGUAGAAAAAAGUGGACAUGACCAUACCCAAACUGGGGCAGAGGAGAAGGAGGAAGGAGCACCACUCGGGAUGGACCUCCAAAAGCUGGAGGAGCGCAGGAAGAAGAGAGGAGCCUGGGGCAUGAGGAGACACGCUGCUACUGUUGAGGCCACUGCAUACAGACUGGCGGGCUUGGGGCGACCCCUAGCGGGCUGGAAGAAGCACAACAGUAAGAAUCAGCUAACUGGGGCCCUGAUGUCUGUACUAAAAGAGCUUCAUAGACAGAAAAAAACCGGCUGCUGGACGCAGAACAAAACACAAAGGGCAAGAAUGAAGAGGAAGAGGAUGAUGAUGACGAUGAGGAUGAUGACGACGAGGAGGAGGAGGAGGAGGAGGAGGAGGAGGAGGAGGAGGAAGAGGAAGAAGAGGUUUGGGUUCUUGCAAUGAUCUUAAAAACAAAGGGCAGAGCGGCAUAUUCAUGAUACCUUUUUUUUAAGUAUUCUUAUUAUUAAUGAGGAUAUUUUUGGUUGAUCUAUUCUCUGACAGGGA
ensembl:lncRNA